UCAUCCCAGGUCCUGCAGCUCUUGCAGUGCACAGAUACAGAGCAGGUCCUGGUCAGUAGUCACUGCUGUGGGGUCUGGAGCUUCUUUUCUCUGGUGGCAGCCAUUAGUAGAGCCCUGUAUUCAGAGAAUAUAUAUAUAUACUGUCCUAUCUGGCUGUGGCCCCCAGGAUACAGAGGGUAGAUAUAUACAGUCCUAUCUGGCUGUGGCCCCCAGGAUACAGAGGGUAGAUAUAUACAGUCCUAUCUGGCUGUGGCCCCCAGGAUACAGAGGGUAGAUAUAUACAGCCCUAUCUGGCUGUGGCCCCCAGGAUACAGAGGCUAUAUACAGCCCUUUCUGGCUGUGGCCCCCAGGAUACAGAGGAUAUAUCCAGCCUGAUUUAGCUGUGGCCCCCAGGAUACAGAGGAUAUAUCCAGCCUGAUCUGGCUGUGGCCCCCAGGAUACAAAGGGUAGAUAUAUCCAGCCUAAUCUGGCUGUGGCCCCCAGCAUACAGAGGCUAUAUACAGCCCUCUCUGGCUGUGGCCCCGGGAUACAGAGGCUAUAUACAGCCCUAUCUGGCUGUGGCCCCCAGGAUACAGAGGAUAUAUCCAGCCUGAUUUAGCUGUGGCCCCCAGGCUGUGCUGGGGUUGAUGAGAAGACCUGUCACUCUGGUACAAGGAUAGAAAUGGACAGGAAGGAGAUCAGCAGAAGAAUGUUAGACCUCACCUUGGAGAUCAUCACCUUGUUGAGUGGAGAGGAUUACACCCUAGUGAAGAAGACAUCGGGGAGGACUCCCAUCAUCCAGGAGUC